UACGUAGGAUGCAAGCGUUGUCCGGAUUUACUGGGCGUAAAGCGCGCGCAGGCGGCACUCUAAGUACGUCGUGAAAUAUCCCGGCUCAACCGGGAGGGUGCGAUGUAGACUAGGGAGCUUGAGGUCGGUAGAGGGGGGUGGAAUUGCUGGUGUAGCGGUGAAAUGCGUAGAGAUCAGCAGGAACACCCGUGGCGAAGGCGGCCCCCUGGGCCGUACCUGACGCUGAGGCGCGAAGGCUAGGGGAG
rnacentral:rRNA from 1 species